UCUAGCUCCCUGACCAAACUCUACCACCCUUAAUAGAUGUAUUUACAGCUCUCAUAGCAUAGGCCAAGGGUUUAUUGGGGUCAGGAAUCUGGAGAUUGCAAUGGCAGAGUUUUUGGGAUUAGCAGCAGCAGCAACAGGUGUAUCAGAAUUGUGACAGUUUGCAGAGGAAGAGCUACAAGCAACCCCAACAACAGCAGUAAAGCAAGCAAAAGAAAUCAACCAUUUUUGAAUCCCAAAAUCAGAGAAAAAAGAUUAGGAAUCUGGAUUUCCAAGAGAAUCAGCAAUAUCUCCAACUUGUCCAAAACCAGCAUCAAACACAUGGGGAGCUCAUAAAUUCUCACCCAACACAAACACAAGUAGCUCCCAACAACAACCACCAUCAAAUUCUAGACCACCAAAGCAUUCAACAAGAAUAUGCAAAGCAAAGAGGAGGAGAGAGAAUGGGAAUGAAGAGCACUGGAGGAGGAGGAGGAGGAGAGAUUAUACAAGUUCAAGGAGGCCACAUUGUUCGAUCCACCGGCCGCAAAGACCGCCACAGCAAGGUCUACACCGCCAAAGGCCCCCGAGACCGCCGCGUCCGGUUGUCUGCCCACACCGCCAUCCAAUUCUACGAUGUUCAAGACCGCCUCGGCUAUGACCGCCCCAGCAAAGCGGUUGACUGGCUCAUCAAGAAAGCAAAAUCCUCCAUUGACAAGCUUGCUGAGCUUCCUCCUUGGCACCCUAUCACUGGUGUUGCAGCAAACAAUGCUGAGCCCGAUCAAUCCAAUCCAAAUGAAAUGGUGAUUGCAGGAGGAGCAGAGGAAACGGAGUCCUCUGGCUACAAUUUCCACCAGCUGCAGAGGCAAAUGGGUGAGAAUAACAACAACCAAGCAAAUAAUGUUUCAAGCUUCAACAUUCCUCCAUCUCUAGACUCAGACACCAUAGCUGACACCAUGAAAUCAUUCUUCCCCACAAGCUCAGCAGCCAAUUCAUCCAUCAAUUUCCAAAGCUACCCAGCGGAUCAUGAUCUGAUUUCAAGAACCACCAACCUAAACCCUUGCCAAGACCUUGGCCUCAGCAAUCCCAAGGGGACACCAACCACAACAACGAUCAGAUUCAGACCCUUUUCGCCGCGGGGGCGGGAGGAUCAACAGUGGGAUUUGACACUAGUUAUCAGAGAAUGGUGGCAUGGAGCAAUCAGAACAGAGGAGGCGAUGGUGGAUUUGUAUUCAACUCACACUCACAAGCAUUGCCACAGCAGGCAUAUGCUCAUGCUCAGGGGGGUACCCUUCAGUCCAGUUUUUCUCCAUCAGUUUCAGCUCGGGCCUGGAACGAUUCUUCUAUCUUUGGCACACAGCAGAGAACACAGCAGCAGCAGCAGCCAAUGAUUCACCAUUCUUCAAUCUUUGGCACCCGCUUCGCGUCUGAUGGCGGCUUGCCAGUGUUCUGCAUCCCCACGCGUAUUGACGCUGAGGAGGCCGAUAAUGGCGGUGUUUCAGAUCGACCAUCAUCCACUUCCUCUCCCAAUUCCACCCACCAUUGAUUGGAUAACUAAUUCUAUCUUCGGGUAUCAAAUUGGGAGACAAGAAGGAAGAUUCAAUCCAAUUGAAUGGUCUACCAAGGAAAGAAAAGUAUCUGGUUUGGAUUUUCAAACAUUCUUUUCUUCUUUGUUGAUCUAUAUAUUUAAUUAGAUUCCCUAGUUGUUUUUAAAUUUGAUGGGACCUUUUUUUUUUGUUUAUUCAUCAAGUGGGUCUCUCUGUUGGCUCAACUUUGUUUUCUUUGUUACUACUUAAUGUGACACAUAUAACCAGGAUAUUUCUGUUCAGGGUUAUCACUUUAAUCCUUAUGAUCCCCACAUUUCCUUUUUCUUUAAUUUGGUUGA